rnacentral:misc_RNA from 1 species
CCAAACUUGGUCAUUUAGAGGAAGUAAAAGUCGUAACAAGGUCUCCGUCGGUGAACCAGCGGAGGGAUCAUUACCGAGUUCUAUAAAAAGAAACUCCCAACCCUUUGUGAACCUUACCACCGUUGCCUCGGCGCCGAGCAGCACUUUGAUUCCGGGAAGGGGGAAGCGGCAAAAGCCUUGAAAAAGGAAAAACCCCCCCCUCCCGAGGACAUUGUGCUCUUUAGCGCCGGAGGACCAUUAACAUUCUGUCUUGAUAUGGUGUGUCUGAGUAAUGCAAACUAAAAUUAAUCAAAACUUUCAACAACGGAUCUCUUGGUUCUGGCAUCGAUGAAGAACGCAGC